UACGGAGGAUCCAAGCGUUAUCCGGAUUUAUUGGGUUUAAAGGGUGCGUAGGCGGACGCUUAAGUCAGCGGUAAAAUUGCGGGGCUCAACCUCGUCGAGCCGUUGAAACUGGGUGCCUUGAGUGGGCGAGAAGUACGCGGAAUGCGUGGUGUAGCGGUGAAAUGCAUAGAUAUCACGCAGAACUCCGAUUGCGAAGGCAGCGUACCGGCGCCCAACUGACGCUGAAGCACGAAGGCGUGGGUAUCGAACAGG
rnacentral:rRNA from 1 species